GAUGAACGCUGGCGGCGUGCCUAACACAUGCAAGUCGAGCGAGAUAAAUGUGAGUGGAGACUUCGGUCAAAGCAAUCAUUUUGAAAGCGGCGGACGGAUGAGUAACGCGUGAGCAAUCUGCCCCAUACAAAGGGAUACCCACUGGGAACGGUGAUUAAUACCUUAUAAGACACGAAGUCGCCAGGCUUAGUGGCCAAAGAUUUAUCGGUAUGGGAUGAGCUCGCGUCUGAUUAGCUAGUUGGUGAGGUAAUGGCUCACCAAGGCGACGAUCAGUAGCCGACCUGAGAGGGUGAACGGCCACACUGGAACUGAGACACGGUCCAGACUCCUACGGGAGGCAGCAGUGGGGAAUAUUGCACAAUGGGCGCAAGCCUGAUGCAGCAACGCCGCGUGAAUGAUGAAGGCCUUCGGGUCGUAAAGUUCUGUCCUAAGGGAAGAAUACAGUGACGGUACCUUAGGAGGAAGCCCCGGCUAACUACGUGCCAGCCGCCGCGGUAA
rnacentral:rRNA from 1 species